rnacentral:rRNA from 1 species
UACGAAGGGGGCUAGCGUUGUUCGGAUUUACUGGGCGUAAAGCGCACGUAGGCGGAUACUUAAGUUAGGGGUGAAAUCCCAGAGCUCAACUCUGGAACUGCCUCUAAUACUGGGUAUCUCGAGUUCGAGAGAGGUGAGUGGAAUUCCGAGUGUAGAGGUGAAAUUCGUAGAUAUUCGGAGGAACACCAGUGGCGAAGGCGGCUCACUGGCUCGAUACUGACGCUGAGGUGCGAAAGCGUGGGGAGCAAACAGG